GACGAACGCUGGCGGCGUGCCUAAUACAUGCAAGUCGAGCGGAUCUUCAUUAGCUUGCUUUUGAAGAUCAGCGGCGGACGGGUGAGUAACACGUGGGCAACCUGCCUGUAAGACUGGGAUAACUUCGGGAAACCGGAGCUAAUACCGGAUAAUCCUUUUCCUCUCAUGAGGAAAAGCUGAAAGACGGUUUCUGCUGUCACUUACAGAUGGGCCCGCGGCGCAUUAGCUAGUUGGUGAGGUAACGGCUCACCAAGGCGACGAUGCGUAGCCGACCUGAGAGGGUGAUCGGCCACACUGGGACUGAGACACGGCCCAGACUCCGACGGGAAGCAGCAGUAGGGAAUCGUCCGCAAGGGACGAAAGUCUGACGGAGCAACGCCGCGUGAGCGAUGAAGGCCUUCGGGUCGUAAAGCUCUGUUGUCAGGGAAGAACAAGUACCGGAGUAACUGCCGGUACCUUGACGGUACCUGACCAGAAAGCCACGGCUAACUACGUGCCAGCCGCCGCCGUAAAAC
rnacentral:rRNA from 1 species